AUCCAGCUGACGAGUCCCAAAUAGGACGAAAACACGCGUCUUGGAU
rfam:Schistosoma mattheei strain Denwood, Zambia genome assembly, scaffold: SMTD_scaffold0008637